UACGGGGGGAGCAAGCGUUGUUCGGAUUUACUGGGCGUAAAGGGCGCGUAGGCGGCCAGCACAAGUCAGUUGUGAAAUCUCCGGGCUUAACUCGGAAAGGUCAACUGAUACUGUGCGGCUAGAGUGCAGAAGGGGCAACUGGAAUUCUCGGUGUAGCGGUGAAAUGCGUAGAUAUCGGGAAGAACACCCGCGGCGAAGGCGGGUUGCUGGGCCGACACUGACGCUGAUGCGCGAAAGCCAGGGGAGCGAACGGG
rnacentral:rRNA from 1 species